GGGUUGUGAUGACUAUCUUAGGACACCUUUGUAAUACCCAUGAAAAAGAGAGUUCUUUCUGAGCAAC